rnacentral:pre_miRNA from 1 species
CCCUUCAUUCCACCGGAAUCUGUAAAAGCAGACACCAGAUUUCUGUGAAAUGAAGCCCA